UAUGGUGUCUCCCACACUGUACCAAUCUACGAAUGUUACGCUUUGUCUCAUGCCAUCCUUCGUCUUGAUUUGGCCGGCCGUGAUCUUACCGAUUACCUCAUGAAAAUCUUGACGGAGAGAGGUUACUCAUUCACCACAACCGGUGAACGAGGAAUCGUCCGUGAUAUCAAAGAGAAAUUGGCCUAUGUAGCAUUGGACUUUGAACAAGAAAUGGACACUGCUGCAAGCAGUUCUAGCUUGGAGAAGGCCUACGAGCUUCCUGACGGUCAAGUUAUCACCAUUGGUAACGAGAGAUUCCGAUGCCCAGAAGCACUCUUCCAACCAUCAUUCCUCGGAAUGGAAUCUGCUGGUAUCCAUGAAACCUGCUAUAACUCCAUCAUGAAAUGCGAUGUCGACAUCAGGAAAGAUUUGUAUGCUAACACUGUGUUGUCU
rnacentral:lncRNA from 1 species